AACCUGCCCAAGAGAUCGGGAUAACACCUGGAAACAGAUGCUAAUACCGGAUAACAACAGAUGAUGCCUAUCAACUGUUUAAAAGAUGGUUCUGCUAUCACUCUUGGAUGGACCUGCGGUGCAUUAGCUAGUUGGUAGGGUAACGGCCUACCAAGGCGAUGAUGCAUAGCCGAGUUGAGAGACUGAUCGGCCNCAUUGGGACUGAGACACGGCCCAAACUCCUACGGGAGGCAGCAGU
rnacentral:rRNA from 1 species